UUUUAAAUAAUGUGAACAGAUAAGGCUAAGCUGCAGAUUCAACUAAGUAUCGGGAAGAAAAAAAAGAUUGAGGAAUAGCAUGAAAUGAGGAACCGCCAAGUAUCGAUGCUUUAUCCUUUUCCUUUUGUUUCCUUUAUUUUUUUUUAUCUAUCUCCAAGCACAUCUUCAUAUUUUCAGAGAGUAUCUUCUAUCAUCUCAAAACGAAACGAAAUUAAUUGAAGGAAAAAAAAGAGUUCGCGCGAACAUGAGACUCCAUGUCUCACGAACUGAUUUUCUUCCCAAAUUUUCGGCUUCUUUCUCAAUAUUCCUCAUCGUGCUUCAGUACCCUGCUCUUCACCAUAUUCCUGGUAUCUCUCCUCAUCGUGCGGUCUCCGGAAGAACCUACUGUGAAAUUAGAGUUCAUUGAGUGCAAGAACAAGAAUUGAAGGAUUGGUUCUGCAAACAUUUAUAGUAUGGAGCUUUAAGAAACAAUACAUACAGUAUGGAGCUUUAAGAAAGAUCAUUGAAGCAAAGAGGACAUUGUAUUUGACGCACUUCUAAUGAAUAAUGACUUUGUGUAUUCUAGAUUUUUGACGCACUUCAUUUGUUAGGUACCUAUAUGAGGUCCUUGAGAAAUCUGACAUGGUUAAUACAUUUGGGUUCAUGGAUCCUGCACGGGUCGUCUCUAUUGGGGUAUCAGAUUCAAAGAAUGUAGUGAACAAUUUAGUAGAACAUCGCAUCGCAACAAGGAAAGUCUGAUCAUAUAUUUUUGGUGCCUUACAAUCCCAGGUGAUUAUAUUACAUAUAAUGUUUUUCAAAUGCAUCAGCAAAUGGCAUUAGUGUGUGUAUAUGUCAUGAAUAAAAUUCACUCUUAAGUAUAUAUUGUUGGAUUUUCAAUGAUCAGUGGAUGUUGACUAUAAUAAAUGAAGAAAAAGACAUUGUCUACAUUGUGGACUUUUUGGAAAGACAAUACCGUGAACAAGGUGCACCAAAACAAGUGGGCGGUGGUGAAUGUGGCUACUAUGUCAUGAGAUACAUGAAGGAACUGAUUGAGGAUCCAAUGCUUUCUUUUGCACAGAAGUGGAGUCGGAAGUCGAAGAGAACCAGCGACUCACAAGAGCAAAUUGAUGAGGUGCGGAUUGAAUGGAGUGAGUUUGUUACAAGGAAAUACUUGUAGAUGUUUAUGAUGAAGCGUGAUAUUUGUAGUGCUGCUUUUUAUGGAACAAGUGGUCUUUGUUGAUCGUUUGUUAAGUUGGACAGAAUUAUUUAAGUUUCAUUGUUUAAUAUGUAGUAGUACUUAAGUAGUUUACUUAUUGUAGAACAUGAUAUUUUAACUUUUGGUUUAUGAAAGAUAUAUGCGUAAUAAUUUUU